GCCCCCGUAGCUCAGUGAACAGAGCGCUGGCCUCCGGAGCCAUAGGUCGCAGGUUUGAAUCCUGCCGGGGGCG
rnacentral:tRNA from 1 species